UAGUUUUUAUGGUAGGUUCUUACUGUGUGGAAACUGAUAAAUAUGCCAUCAUGGUAGUAACUCAUUAUGGCAGCAGGAGUGAUUUUUAUUAUGACCUAAGCUGAAUACUUUCCUCUAAUUUAAAAAAAUGCUUUCUAGUUUAUAUUUGACUCGUUACAACAUAUUUGAAAUUAAUUCAAGUCCUCGUGAAACUCUACCUAGUGCUAAUGAGAACAUGAUCAGUUACUCAUAUUUCGUUCAAAUAAAGACCCCACAGCCAAAAUUUUAAAUAUGGUGUCUGGGCUAGAUAUAUGUAGUUCAUUAAUCUAGUCUUUUAGUAAUAUAUCAUUAUUUUUAUUUUACUUUCAAAACUAUGCCAUCAUGUGUCACUUUCCUCUCUGAGAAAAAAUGAUGCGAGAAAUGCCUCUGAAUGUCAAUUCAGAAUAGCAGAUAAUUAUUCUCCAGUAGAAGUUUUAUAUUUCUCCUGAGUUCUGUAUUUCUAUGUCCCUUUAGUGUGACCAGCUGACUGUAAUUGCCACUUAGUGCUUGGCCGGAAAGCUGUUACGUCAAUCAAUCAAACAAAUAAAUGGGCAAGGAACCUGAAGCACAGUGCAGCUCAAGAUUUUAUAGCCAUUACGUGGCAAAGCCAAGUUCAGAAUCCUGACAGGCUGACUCCAGAGCUGAUGCUCUUACUGGUGAAGCUCCACAGCAAACCUGCUAUUCCCCUACUGUUCCACGUGCCACAUAUUCCCACUUGUGGCAAAUUGAGUCAUUUGAAAUAGCUUUUCAACUUAUAUUAAGAAACUCAAACCCAGUGCAAGAGGCCAUAGUGUAACCAAAUGCAAGUCACGCUGCUUGCUGCUUGGAAGCCAAAACACAACGCAUGAGAUGUGGUGAAAAGAAAUCCGCUUUAUUAAUCAAAUUCUAGCAGGUGAGAGAUGGCCAGGCUCAAUCCUCAAAUAAACCAUCUCCAGUUUUGAGCUGAAGGCAGAGAUUUAAAAAGGGGAAGCGUGGUAUAGGAAAUACCUAGGAGUGAGGCAGGGUGCAGGUCUGUAUGUCUUGCCCUGAUCACCAUUUUGAGUUUGUCCACCUGGAGUGCUGUCUGGUGCUAUGUCAAUUGCAGCCAGGCUGUAGAUUAUCCAUACUGAGGUAAAUUCUAGGUAAAGGAGAACUUAUAGCAGGGUUUCUACACCAGGUGUGUUUAAAAUUAACCCCUGGAAUUUCUUAACAAGCAUGCAGUUAGAUGAGUGUGCAUGGUGCAGAGAGGUGUUUGGUGGGAAAGGGAGAGAGUUUCAAAAUAUGUUUUAAGGCUAUAUUGU